rnacentral:tRNA from 1 species
GGUUGUGGCUCAGUGGUAGAUUGCUCGCUUAGCAAUGUGCAAGGCCCUGGGUUCGAUCCUCAGCACCA